CCCUUAGAUGUUCUGGGCCGCACGCGCGCUACACUGACGAAGUCAGCGAGCAUCUCCUACGCCGAAAGGUGCGGGGAAUCUUGUGAAACUUUGUCGUGCUGGGAUUGAUUUUUGAAAUUCUUGAUCAUCAACGAGGAAUUCCUAGUAAGCGCAAGUCAGCAGCUUGCGUUGAUUACGUCCCUGCCCUUUGUACACACCGCCCGUCGCUACUACCGAUUGAAUGGUUUAGUGAGAUUUUUGGACUGGAACUCUCUUGUUCAGCAAUGAACGAGAGGGACUCUGGGAAGCUAUUCUAACUGUAUCAUUUAGAGGAAGUAAAAGUCGUAACA
rnacentral:rRNA from 1 species